UGCAUUCACUACUAUAAGUAGCUCUGGAUAAGAGCGUCUGCUAAAUGACUAAAA
rfam:Salmo salar isolate Sally breed double haploid chromosome ssa02, whole genome shotgun sequence.